rnacentral:rRNA from 1 species
CCUACGGGUGGCAGCAGUGGGGAAUAUUGGGCAAUGGGCGCAAGCCUGACCCAGCAACGCCGCGUGAAGGAAGAAGGCUUUCGGGUUGUAAACUUCUUUUCUCAGGGACGAAGAAAGUGACGGUACCUGAGGAAUAAGCCACGGCUAACUACGUGCCAGCAGCCGCGGUAAUACGUAGGUGGCAAGCGUUAUCCGGAUUUAUUGGGUGUAAAGGGCGUGUAGGCGGGAGCGCAAGUCAGAUGUGAAAACUCAGGGCUCAACCCUGAGCCUGCAUUUGAAACUGUGUUUCUUGAGUGCUGGAGAGGCCAUCGGAAUUCCGGGUGUAGCGGGGAAAUGCGUAGAUAUUCGGAGGAACACCGGUGGCGAAGGCGGCCAACUGGGCUUUAACUGACGCUGAGGCUCGAAAGUGUGGGGAGCAAACAGGAUUAGAUACCCGAGUAGUC